rnacentral:misc_RNA from 1 species
AAGUCGUAACAAGGUUUCCGUAGGUGAACCUGCGGAAGGAUCAUUAUCUAUAACCGGGUGUGGCUGCGGCCUCCGGGGGCGUGGGCGUCGAAACGAUGCCCUCUCUUCCGGGUGGUAGAGGUAAAACUCUCACGCGCCACAUGUCUGAAUCCUUUUUUUACGAGCACCUUUCGUUCUCCUUCGGUGGGGUGACCUGCCGUUGGAACCCAUCAAAACUCUUUUUGCAUCUAGCAUUACCUGUUCUGAUACAAACAAUCGUUACAACUUUCAACAAUGGAUCUCUUGGCUCUG